AGUGAACGCUGGCGGUAGGCCUAACACAUGCAAGUCGAACGGCAGCACAGUAAGGGCUUGCUCUUACGGGUGGCGAGUUGCGGACGGGUGAGGAAUACAUCGGAAUCUACUUUUUCGUGGGGGAUAACGUAGGGAAACUUACGCUAAUACCGCAUACGACCUACGGGUGAAAGCAGGGGAUCUUCGGACCUUGCGCGAUUGAAUGAGCCGAUGUCGGAUUAGCCAGUUGGCGGGGUAAAGGCCCACCAAGGCGACGAUCCGUAGCUGGUCUGAGAGGAUGAUCAGCCACACUGGAACUGAGACACGGUCCAGACUCCUACGGGAGGCAGCAGUGGGGAAUAUUGGACAAUGGGCGCAAGCCUGAUCCAGCCAUACCGCGUGGGUGAAGAAGGCCUUCGGGUUGUAAAGCCCUUUUGUUGGGAAAGAAAAGCAGCAGGUUAAUACCCCGCUGUUCUGACGGUACCCAAAGAAUAAGCACCGGCUAACUUCGUG
rnacentral:rRNA from 1 species